AAGUGGUACAGAAUGGAUGUUGGAAAACAAGGAGGAUCACAUCUGGGCCUCCAGGGAAAUCUGAAUACACCUACUAACUAACCUCUUUACGU
rnacentral:lncRNA from 1 species